UCUACGGGAGGCAGCAGUGGGGAAUAUUGCACAAUGGGCGAAAGCCUGAUGCAGCGACGCCGCGUGAGGGAUGACGGCCUUCGGGUUGUAAACCUCUUUCAGCAGGGAAGAAGCGAAAGUGACUGUACCUGCAGAAAAAGCGCCGGCUAACUACGUGCCAGCAGCCGCGGUAAUA
rnacentral:rRNA from 1 species